ensembl:lncRNA
GAAAAGCAUCUGUAUGCUUAAAUGUGGAGAGACUAACGGUAACGUGACCUGGAGCAGAGAUGUGGGUGGAAAAAGGGACAAGAUUCUCAGCGUCUACAAGGACACGGUUAUCAAACACAUCACUGAUCCAGACAGACGUUACAGCUCAGGAAGACGUCUGAUUCUGAGUAUAUUUAAUGUCUCGUUCUCAGACGCUGGUCGAUAUUACUGUAAUGAGAACGCAGUGGAGGUCAGUGUGACAUGAAAGACUCAGAUAAUCAUAAAUACGGGGAUUGGUUGACGGUAACAGCUUUAGUAGCCGGGGGUUGUGCGCUUGUUUUAGUGUCACUUCUGGUUCUGUGGAGGUGUUUCUCCAAAAGGAAAGGUAGCACCGCCAAAGUACAGCACGAUUCAGCUGAAAAAGGAUCUUCGGAUCUGUACACAUCGGUAUACAUCAACGAGACUCCAUCAGCUCCUCGACCAGGUGAAAUUACUGUUAAUAUAGAGUUUAUUUAUGUGGCUUAUAAAUAUAAAUUACUCAGAAUGAGAACGUGAACUUCAUAAACGAAUGUUUUUUCUUGCGCUCCUUCCCACGUUUGACCUCAAGCAGUUGGCCACCCCAGCAACUCACAAAGCCGGCAACUAGCUUGACCUCAUCCUCACAUGUAACUCACACAAAAUUAUUACUUGUUACUCCUCUCCACACCUCUUACCAUUUCUUUAUCCAGUUUUCUAUUUCUCUCCCCUCACCCCCUCACAGUCUUCAACCUCUAUCUCUAUCUCCUUUUGUGGCAAUCUUCGCUCCCUUUCCCCCCUCACAAUUCUCUUCCAUUGUCACAACCUCACUUCCCUCUGAUAGCCUCCUCUCCUCACUGUCCUUAAACACCACAAUUGACAUUCUAUGUUUCACUCUAACAUCUUCGUUUUCAGUGACACUGACUUAAUUUACCUUCAACACGUGCAUUUGUUAUGGUUUUUGGCCCUGUCUCUGCCCCUGUAUUGUCACUGUUUGUUUCCCGCAUGUGUCAUCAUUAGUCUCAGCUGUUUUGUGUUUCACCCCGAUUAUGUUUAGUACUUAAACCCCUCGUGUCCCUUUGUACUUAGCGAGUAUUAGGUGAGUUUCCGUAUACCAGGCGUUUGUUUCUUGCUUCAUGUGUUAUUGUUUGAUCUUGUUCUCACCCUCAUUCAUGAUUCCUGUUUUGUCAAUUGCUUGACCCAUUGCCUGUUAUUUGACCAUGCUAUUGUCUCAUGAUUUGGAUUUGUCUGCCUGCCUCUCUUUAUUAAAAGCUCUUAUCUGCACUUGCAUCUGUCCUAACCUCCAUUACUUUUAAUUACGUGACACAUAGAUAGAAAGAAAGAAAGAAAGAAAGAAAGAAAGAAAGAAAGAAAGAAAGAAAGAAACUUUAUUAAUCCUGAUGGAAAUUGCAAAAUUACAGUAGUGGUAAAAGACAAACAUUCACAGAUAACCAUAAAUACAAUAAAAAAGCACAGUAAUUUAUUGCAGGUCCAGGUACUUAUAUGUGUCCACUACCUCCAAUGUUCAGCUGCAGUUUGCACCACUCAGCAAAGUUCUCCACCAAGGCCAUAUACUCAUCCCCCUGCCCACCUCCGAUGCAUGUACUUCUGCACAUGACAUGACUCUGUGUUAUACCUAAAAUCUGAAUGGAGGAUUGAACAGGAAUGGAGCCAGUACAGUCCCCUGAGAAGCCCCAGUGCUGCACAUAGCCAUAUCUGACUUACCAGUUAGGUAGUUCACGGCAGGUUGAAUUGUGUUUGUUGACCAUCCCUUUCCAGAUUUAUUCCACCAUUGCUGUUAUAACAACCUCCUCCAAUCUUCUGGGAAGGCUUUCCACUAAAUUUUGUAUCGUAGCUGUGGGGAUUAAUGAUCAUUCAAGUAACAAGAGCAUUAAUAAGGUUGAGGUCAGGUGCUGAUGUCGAUGUGAGGAGGCUCCAGUUCCAGUUCACCCUAAAGGUGUUCAGUGGGGUUGAGGUCAGGGCUCUGUACAGGACACUCGAGUUCUUGCACCUUCUUCCAACCGUCACACACCACGUCUUCAUGGAGCUCGCUUCGUGCACUGUCUGUCAUGCUGGAACAGUGUUUGGGCCUCUUAGUUCCAGUGAAGGGAAACUGUAAUGCUACAGCGUACAGAGACGUUCUAUACAACUGUGGAACAGUUUGUGGAAGAAAAACAUAUAGGUGGUGAGGAGAUCACAUAAUGUAUUUCUGUUAUGUUUGUGAUUUAAUGUAUAAAAAUAAAAACAUAUUGAGAGCAUGUUUACAUUGUGUUCAUUUGUGUUUCUGUAAUACAUAAAGUGACCAAAUUCUUCCUGAUUCAAAUAUGAUGCCUUUUCUAUCACUUCUCUUUAUUAUCACACAUUCUCACACGCCUAUCAUUACACUUAUCUUAAAUGUGUUUAAGUUCACUUAAAAUCCCCCGAGACCUUUACCAUAAUCACAAAUAUUAGAGAAACACACAUUUCUGAGAUGAUUAGUUGUGCUCCUUUUGUUGUCUUUUUGAGGUCAUGCCCACAAGUAAACAAAGUCACACACACACACACACACACACACACACACACACACAAACACACACCCACAAUCAGGGAUACAUAACAUUACAUCACUUCCUCAGCCUCAUCUCACUUCCUCACACUGCUCAUCACACACUGCACCUCGGAGCUUCAGUCUGUUCACAGGGUGUAAAGUUCGCUGUGUUUCAUCUUUAACUCUUACAUUCAGUCGUGAUGGAGAAUACCGGGUUCAUCUGUCUCCUGCUGUGUGUGAGCGUACACACGGCCAACAGCGAAACAUUUUGUCCAGAGAAAAACAUCUGUAUGCUUAAAUGUGGAGAGACUAACGGUAACGUGACCUGGAGCAGAGAUGUGGGUGGAAAAAGGGAGAAGAUUCUCAGCGUCUACAAGGACACGGUUAUCAAACACAUCACUGAUCCAGACAGACGUUACAGCUCAGGAAGACGUCUGAUUCUGAGUAUAUUUAAUGUCUCGUUCUCAGACUCUGGUCGAUAUUACUGUAAUGAGAACGCAGUGGAGGUCAGUGUGACAUCAAAGACUCUGAAAAUCAUGAAAACGGGGGAUUGGUUGACGGUAACAGCUUUAGUAGCCGGGGGUUGUGCGCUUGUUUUAGUGUCACUUCUGGUUCUGUGGAGGUGUUUCUCCAAAAGGAAAGGUAGCACCGCCAAAGUACAGCACGAUUCAGCUGAAAAAGAAUCUUUGGAUGAGAUACAUGUUUAUGAGUCAAUUUACGAGACUCCCUCAGCUCCUCAACCAGCAGCUCCACAGCAGAUCCCAAAAGAUGGAUUUUACUAUCUGGCUACACAUCCAGGAAUCCAGAACAGGCAUUAAAACACACACACACACACACACACACACACACACACACACACACACACACACACACACACACACAAAUACACAACAUGUCAACAUGUGGAUCUUCCUUCAAAGAGUGUGAAGGUAAAGGCAGUUUCUGAAUAGAAGUGUGGGCUGUAGGAGUUGGGGGUGGGGUGGGACUACUGAUUGACUGAGUUGCUGUUGUCCAGAGAUGAUCGGCGUUGAUUUGUGAUUGUUGUUGUUUUAUAAUAAACAUCUGUACUUUUUACUUUCACUUUGUUCUAUAUCUAUGAACACAUGAAUAUGAUGAUUGUGAUGUCUGGGUUAGGGUUACUACUACUACUACCGGAAUUGUUGAGUUGACUGUUGAAUAAUUAUGGCUAAAUCAAUUAAACAACAGUUUGGAAUAUCUGAACUGUUGUGCACAUUAUUCUUUUCCUACUGUAUAUUUCAUAUGAGUAUUAAAAUAUAUGUUUUUUUGUUACAAUAGUCAAUUUCAUAAUGUCAACACUCACUAUACACUAUUUCAUUUAUGAGGCAAAAGGCAACCUGCAGUCAUACACCAAGUCCACAUAUUUCUAUCACAAAAUAUCGAGGCUUGAAUCCCUUGUAAAUCCCACCUUCCCAGCAUCUGAACUCUAACCUAGCUGAGACACGCUGCUCAAACUUUCUUAUCUAUCUGAUGCUACGUUCAUAGUCGCUGUACUAUGAAGUCGCCAGUAGGUGUUCCUGCUACCAGUUGUCAUAGUAACAUUUGUCAGUGGGUGGUGCGACUAACAUUCCACUUUUGACAAUUAAUCAGUUUUCUUGCUGCUAAAAUGGAACCUUCUGGAGGAAGAGGAUCUUAUAUAAAACUCACCAGUGUAUAUAUGCAUCACAUCCUAUGAGAUCGAGGAGAAGCAGUGUGUGCUCUUUGCCACUGAGGCCAUCUGUCUGUGGGAAAAGUGCAAUUAGCUUAGCUUAGCUUAGCUUAUGGCCUCCUCGGCCAUGGUCUCCGUGCUUCCUGGGUGAAGUGGCUGGCUUGGUGCUGCUUGUUCCCAGAGCCGGGCGUCUCAGCCUCAGGUCCUCGCUCCUUCUGGUAGCUUCUACUUAUCACGUGCACUCUCCUGUCUUCACUCCCAUUGGUAGUCUCUGCACCAAGUCACUCCACAUUUGCAUAAAGUCGCCUGCAUUUACCAGCUUUGUGACCAAAAUUUUAAAAAAUAAUUUAAUAAAACUAGCCACAGUAGGUUGAAGUUGGUUUGCAAAAAAAAAAAAGAAAAAAAAAGCUAACACUAAGCAACAUAAACAUAAUUUUAACAUUAACUUAGUUGACCUUACCUUAGGUGUGUUCAACUAGUACGAUGAGUUUUCACUCUUGCCUUGCUGCAACACGGUCCUUGCAGGAGCAGCACAUCUGAUGUAUCGUAUAUGAGGCCCAGCAAGGCCCAUGGAUGUGAGUCGCUGCCUGAUCUGAGUAGCGCACGCAUCUUGGACAACUAGGUACGGCAACACCACCUGGACCAACACGCAGAACUGCAGUAAACAUUUAUAGUUAUGAUUAUGAUCACAUUUGCUAAUGAUUAAUUCAGACGGCGUUGUGUGGUUUCAAUUCAAUUCAAAGCAUCAAACAAUUCGUUCAAAUAUCUGAACAAUACACAAUAACAGCAACAUUACGCAGACAAUGACAGACAAUCAUGCAACCGACAUUGACAAUUGUUGAAUUGAAUUUACAAUUCAUAUGUCGAUCUCCUGCACCUGUCUUCCACGUCCACAGAUGUCCAAAAAAACUCUUAGCAAGACGUGCAAAUCUACAUCUGAGAGGUGUCAUAAUCAGAUGUCCAGAGACUGAACCUGAUUUACACAUCUUGCAGACAUACAGAUAUGGUCCUGGACCAAGCGACGUAAUAUAGGCAUGAUCUACACAUCUGGCAGAUGUCUCAUGUUUGCUGGGAUACAGUAAAAAAAAAAAAAAUUAUAUAUGAAGUGCAUAGAAGUAAGCUGCAGCUCAGGAAGUGAUGUAAUUGUGUAUGUAGG